UACGGAGGGUGCGAGCGUUGUCCGGAAUCACUGGGCGUAAAGGGCGCGUAGGCGGCUCAGUAAGUCAGGUGUGAAACCUCCAGGCUCAACCUGGAGACGCCACCUGAUACUGCUGUGGCUAGAGUCCGGUAGGGGAGCGUGGAAUUCCUGGUGUAGCGGUGAAAUGCGCAGAUAUCAGGAGGAACACCAGCGGCGAAGGCGGCGCUCUGGGCCGGAACUGACGCUGAGGAGCGAAAGCGUGGGUAGCAAACAGG
rnacentral:rRNA from 1 species